AAAGUACUCCCUCCGUCCCAAAAUUCUUGUCUUAGAUUUGUCUAGAUACAGAUGUAUCAAGUCUAGAUACAUCCGUAUCUAGACAAAUCUAAGACAAAAAAUUUGGGACAGAGGGAGUAGUUG
rnacentral:pre_miRNA from 1 species